CGGAGGCUACCGCUAUUGGAGUCCGAUUAAGACAUGCGAGUCGAGAGCUUUCGGAGCUCGGCAUACUGCUCAGUAACACGUGGGUAACCUGCCCUGUGCUGGGGGAUAACCUCGGGAAACUGAGAACAAUACCCCAUAGUCCACUACGCCUGGAACGGUGAGUGGAUGAAAGCCCCGGCGGCACAGGAUGGGCCUGCGGCGUAUCAGGUAGUAGGGGGUGUAAAGUACCCUCUAGCCUUCGACGCGUACAGGUUGUGAGAGCAAUAGCCCGGAGAUGGAUUCUGAGACACGAAUCCAGGUCCUACGGGACGCAGCAGUCGCGAAACCUUGACAAUGCGGGAAACCGUGAUCAGGGGACUCCAAGUGCCAGGAGUAAGAUCCUGUGCUUUUCUUUUCUCUUCCAAGGAUUUGGAAUAAGAGGUGGGUAAGGACGGUGCCAGCCGCCGCGGUAAAUACCCGGCGCCUCGAGUGGUAGUCGAUUUUAUUGGCCCUAAAACGUCCGUCGCCGGUCUGGUGCAUUCGUGGGUAACUCAACCCGCUCAACGGGUGGAUUUCUGCGAGCACGGCCAGACUAGGGACCGGGAGAGGUGUGGGGUACGCUCGGGGUAGGGGUAAAAUCCUGUCAUCCCGAGCGGACCACCUGUUGCGAAGGCUCCACACUAGAACGGAUCCGACGUUCAGGGACGAAGCCUAGGGGCACGAACCGGAUUAGAUACCCGGGUAGUCCUAGGUGUAAACGCUGUGGACUUGGUGUUGGGAGCUCCCAGAGGGCUCUCAGUGCCGUAGCGAAGGUGAUAAGUCCACUGCCUGGGGAGUACGGUCGCAAGGCUGAAACUUAAAGGAAUUGGCGGGG
rnacentral:rRNA from 1 species